rnacentral:tRNA from 1 species
GGGGUUGUGACUCAGUGGUAGAGUGCUCGCCUAGUAUGUGUGAGGCACUGGGUUCAAUCCUCAGCACCA